CAGAUGUGUUUUUGAUGUCCCCAUGUCCCCCCAGCUGUCCCCAGCUGUCCCCAGGUGUCCCCAGAUGUCCCCAGCUGUCCCCAGAGGUGUCCCCAGAUGUCCCCAGAGAUGUCCCCAGCUGUCCCCUCACCUCUUUGCUGUCACAGGGGGGUCUCUCUGGCGCCUGCAGCUGGAACAGGAAGUUCUGCUCCUCCAGGGCGCUGAGGGGACACGGCCACCCCGCGUGGCCACCGGGGACGCGGCAGAAGGCGCCCACGGGGACCUCCCCGGAGUGGUGGCUGCAGGGGACAUCAUUGGGGACAUCACUGGGGACAUCCCUGGGGACAUCCCUGGGGACAUCCCUGGGGACAUCCCUGGGGACGGCCUUGGGGACGUCGGGGACCAGGGGAACAUGGGGGAAAAGGGUUCUUGUGGUGUCCCCAUGGUGUCCCCAAGGUGUCCCCAAGGUUCUCAAGGUGUCCCCAAGGUGUCCUCAAGGUGUCCCCAAGGUUCUCGUGGUGUCCCCAAGGUUCUCGUGGUGUCCCCAUGGUGUCCCCAUGGUGUCCUCAAGGUGUCCCCAAGGUCCCCAAGGUUCUCAUGGUGUCCCCAUGGUGUCCCCAAGGUUCUCGUGGUGUCCCCAUGGUGUCCUCAAGGUGUCCCCAAGGUCCCCGAGGUUCUCGUGGUGUCCCCAUGGUGUCCCCAAGGUUCUCGUGGUGUCCUCAAGGUGUCCCCAUGGUGUCCCCAAGGUGUCCUCAAGGUGUCCCCAAGGUUCUCAAGGUGUCCCCAAGGUGUCCCCAUGGUGUCCCCAUGGUGUCCUCAAGGUGUCCCCAAGGUCCCCAAGGUUCUCAUGGUGUCCCCAUGGUUCUCAUGGUGUCCCCAUGGUGUCCUCAAGGUGUCCCCAAGGUUCUCGUGGUGUCCCCAUGGUGUCCCCAUGGUGUCCUCAAGGUGUCCCCAAGAUGUCCCCAGGUGUUUCCCAAUGUCCCCCCAGGUGUCCCCAGGUGUGCUUUUGGUGUCCCCAGGUGUCCCCA
rnacentral:lncRNA from 1 species